GACGUAGGGCGCGAGCGUUGUCCGGAUUUAUUGGGCGUAAAGAGCUCGUAGGCGGCUUGUCGCGUCGACUGUGAAAACCCGCGGCUCAACUGCGGGCCUGCAGUCGAUACGGGCAGGCUAGAGUUCGGUAGGGGAGACUGGAAUUCCUGGUGUAGCGGUGAAAUGCGCAGAUAUCAGGAGGAACACCGAUGGCGAAGGCAGGUCUCUGGGCAUUAACUGACGCUGAGGAGCGAAAGCAUGGGGAGCGAACAGG
rnacentral:rRNA from 1 species